UACGAAGGGUGCAAGCGUUACUCGGAAUCACUGGGCGUAAAGCGUGCGUAGGCGGUUCGUUAAGUCUGCUGUGAAAGCCCUGGGCUCAACCUGGGAACUGCAGUGGAUACUGGCGGACUAGAGUGUGAUAGAGGAUGGUGGAAUUCCCGGUGUAGCGGUGAAAUGCGUAGAGAUCGGGAGGAACACCAGUGGCGAAGGCGGCCUGCUGGGCAGAUACUGACACUGAGGCGCGACAGCGUGGGGAGCAAACAGG
rnacentral:rRNA from 1 species